UACAUGGGGUGCAAACGUUGCUCGGAAUUAUUGGGCGUAAAGCGCGCGUAGGCGGUUACUUAAGUCGGAUGUGAAAGCCCUCGGCUUAACUGAGGAAGUGCACCCGAAACUGAGUAGCUAGAGUACGAAAGAGGGUCGCGGAAUUCCCGGUGUAGAGGUGAAAUUCGUAGACAUCGGGAGGAACACCGGUGGCGAAGGCGGCGACCUGGGUCGAGACUGACGCUGAGGCGCGAAAGCGUGGGGAGCAAACAGG
rnacentral:rRNA from 1 species